AGUGAACGCUGGCGGCAGGCCUAAUACAUGCAAGUCGAACGGCAGCACAGCAGAGCUUGCUCUGUGGGUGGCGAGUGGCGGACGGGUGAGGAAUACAUGGGAAUCUACCCAGUAGUGGGGGAUAACCUGGGGAAACCCAGGCUAAUACCGCAUACGCCCUGAGGGGGAAAGCGGGGGAUCUUCGGACCUCGCGCUAUUGGAUGAGCCUGCGUCGGAUUAGCUAGUUGGUGGGGUAAGGGCCCACCAAGGCGACGAUCCGUAGCUGGUCUGAGAGGAUGACCAGUCACACCGGAACUGAGACACGGUCCGGACUCCUACGGGAGGCAGCAGUGGGGAAUAUUGGACAAUGGGCGCAAGCCUGAUCCAGCCAUGCCGCGUGGGUGAAGAAGGCCUCGG
rnacentral:rRNA from 1 species